GCCAUUCCUACGUUGAAUUUUGAGAAGUCUAGUUGUUCUCCGUAUCUCGCUGUGAAUUUGACUGUACCUGAAAAUACCGAAUCUCGAUUCUUGUCAUGAAUAACCAAAGGAUUCUGCCUCAAUCCCGUGUAUAACGCCGCUGAAUUAAACGCAUGAAAAAUGGCGGUAUCUCGUAUUUGUCGGUGCAAAGUCGCGUGAUCCAGCGCGCCGCUACGCGGCCCCUGAUUGGCCCGCUUAGUAGAACGAGGGAGCUAGUAUCAGUACGGAGCGCUUCCCCACGACGCCAGUUCAACAUUAAACUUCGGACUAUCUGCUUCGUCUCCGCUAAAUUCGUUGCUAAUUCUAAUCAUGCGCUGUAAUAUCAGAUCUUAAAACCAGUGACAAAUGGGCACACAGUGACUUAAACAAUCCUAUCUCAUCUGGGUGUAAAAUUGGCUUAAUAAAACUUGUAACAGUGGCGAUGCAGGACGCAACAAGUCGAACCGGUAGCCAUUGUGAAUCAUUUUUGAAUUCUUGUCGCAACUCGAGUAUCUCCGCCGUGUACUUAAAGUGCAUAAUCAGUGCAUACAGAUAGCUGGAAGCAUUAGCACCAGAUCUCCACUCUUCCGGCUACAUGAAUUAAACCCAGAGUCCGCAGGACACAGCAGGGAAAAAUCUCAAAGCUACCUAACCUGUUCAGUAGACUUCGGAAAGAAAAAUGCAGAUAAUACUGUUCUCGCUGGGUGAUCUCGGUAAUUGGAAUUUUCCGAAAGAAUCCGAUAGUUAGUCCAACCGGAUGUCUAAUAUUCGCAAGACACAGGAAAAAUUGACAAUCGUUUCUACUGCAUCCGAUGUAGUCACCUCGUCCAUAGCUGAUCAUCGAUCAUCCACAUAAAGUGGAAAAUCUUGGUAAUUAAAAUUUUCCACAACUAUUUAUUUCCUUUGAUUCACAAAUUUUUGAUCCUCAUUAUUCAUGGUUUUUUCCUUGCCAUUUUGUAGCAUCGUUCUUCGUGGGAGCAUCUCAUCCAUACAACGUUUCAACCUACUACACAGCUAUAGCCAUCAGGGAGGCAGAGACAUCCAGGUAAAAUCCAAGACCCCCAAGACCUGGGAACCGGCUAGGGUCCGGUCUUGGUGCUGGCAGCGAUGGUGAGUCCCAGCACUCAAAGUUCCUCGACUUCUUUGCCAGCUCACACGAUGGUGAACGCUGGCAUCGGGUCGUUGUAUUUUAUAUUGUGUCAUUCCUCUGUUCCCUUUUUGUAACAUGGCGUGGCGGUACCCUGAAUUGCAAUUUUAUUAGAUCAGGUAAUUGUAGGGUUGGUUGCUGUUGAGCAUAGCGCACGUGCACCCUUUAGCGUCAAACAUAUAAAACUCUUCCUUGAAAUUAAUCAGUCAAAAAGCCAAUGAAUGAUUAAGUCAGUCAGUCAGUUUAUUAAUUAGUCAAUCAGUUAUUUGAGCCAUCAGUCAACUAUUAGUUCAUCGAAUAUGAACUAUUCAGAUAAAUCACAUCUUAGAUAAAUUUAAGUGCAAGAGUGUGCAGCUCAUAGGCAACGGUAAAGGCCGUCGUUCAAUCGACUCUCGCGUUUUAUAAAUUUUCUAUAAUUUUCGGUGACCGAUCUCGUUUGCGUCGAUCACUGAUCGGUAUUAAAAUUUUGUCGUGCGAAUGAUGGUCAUUACCAUAGAUUCAGCUUUUUCAGGUACAUCAGGAAUUGACUUGGAUAGCUUCCGCGAAAAGUCAGAAUUCAUUUAGUCUCAAUUUAAUGAUCAGCCAUCAGCUGAAUCAAUUUUGAAUUUGAUCUCUAUAUUUGCUUAUCUAUUUGCAUGUUUAAAAUUUCAAUUCUUUCAACUCAAUUGUGAUCAAACUUGAACCCGUCUUUAGGUACCGAUAAGUAAAUUCACUAGAACUAUAACAGGAUGUCUAAUCAUUUCAGGAAUUUUCUUCCCUUACACACAAUUUUCAGCCCAUAACUUUUUCUUGCUUAAUGAAUAUUAUAUGAGAUUAAUUAAUCUCAUUUUCUUACUGAUGAUAUUUACUCAAGAGUAAAUUUACUAAAUUCAUUUAAAGAUCAUUGAUGUUUUUUAAAUUUCGGCCAGAUAGCAAACACACCUUUUCUCAAAAUUUAAAUAAAUUACGGCUUCGGCCGGGGCAUGGGCAGCCUUUAUAUUUCUACACACACAACAGGUCAACAGUAAGUUUUUUGAACGAGAUACCACGGCAAUGAAUGUGAGAUGUGAGUGAGACGAAAUUCUCGGUGCGCCGGCGCAAGUAUGAAUUGGGGUUUUCGUCAGUAAAAUCAUUUCUUGGAUAAUUAUAGGUGAAAGGCAGGUAUAGGUAAAUUCAUGCAUCGCGAGGGCAUUUAUAAGCAGUGUGUAUGUGAAUAAUAGUUUUAACCGUUGGGUGGGAUGUGGGCUCCACAAAAUGGGUAGGCAAGAGAUCGGAAGCGCAACUUUUCUUUCCACAGCAAUUCCAAGUGAUCAAUUGAGUAGAGUUUAUCAAAUUCCGUUAAUUAAUUUUAUGUAACAUUUAACUCCAUAUUUUUCAAAUAAUUCUUUUCAUGCGGUCUUUUAGGUCUCUUUGCUGAGAUCUGAUAGACCCUUUUCCUUCCCAACUAAAUAAAUUAAAUUAGAUUGAGGUUUUCUUUCUUCCCUGUAAUAUUUGGGGUCACUUGGAAUGGGCAAAAUGCGUCCGCCUUGCUCUCCGUACCAGCCGUGGUGCAUGGAAGCGAGGUGGACGUUGAGCUCGAAGACUUCGCGUCGAAGAGGAUCGCCGACCGCCACGCCAAAAAUUUGUAUACCUUUCCCCUUUCCUCUCCCCAAUGCUAAUUGGAAUAGGAGGAUGCGAUUAAAAAUUGCAUUUCUUCGAUUUCCAUUAGCAUGAAUAUUCCAACUCCGACGCUGCUCGCGCGGGUAUAGCGCGAGGACGAGGAAUCGCAUGUUAUGUAUUAGUAUAUGUAUGUAUUUCAUUUUUUGUAUGCGUGACUUGCCAUCUUGCAAGGCGCAUUAAAAACUUGACUUGAGAGAUUUUUUUUCAGGGAUUUAAAGUGAAAUAAAAACCCAAGUUUCGUCGCUGCUGCUCGUAUGCGCGCGAACUUGGCGCUUAAAACAUUCAUUGCAACGCUUUAUGCGUUUUAAACCCAACAACCGAAAAAUUGUAAGGAAUCAAGUACUAUCGCACCUUUUUGUGCGUGGUACUUGACUUCCACGGGACUAUUUGUCAGAUACUAAUCAACAUUUUACCUUCCAGAUUAAUAAAUUUUCUUACAGGUCCUAAUCAUUACUUUUUGUUUUCAGUUCCAUUACUAAUGAAAAUUUUCUUACAGAUGUUAGGUUUUAGUCUUUACUUUUAUUGUUAAUCAGAUCUUAUUCACAGGCUGUCCCUGGCUACUAAUAUGCAGUUUGCUUUCUGAUUUCAGGGAUCCGAAGUCUCGGAAAACUCUCCAAGUUUUUUUACAGAUCCUGGAUGUCAUCGUACUAAUCAAGUGUUGUUCGCAGGCUGUCCCUGGCUACUAAUAUGCAGUUUGCUUUCUGAUUUCAGGAUCCGAAGUCUCGGAAAACUCUCCAAGUUUUCUUACAGAUCCUGGAUGUCAUCGUACUAAUCAAAUUUUGUUCGCAGGCUGUCCCUGGCUACUAAUAUGCAGUUUGCUUUCUGAUUUCAGGAAUCAGCACCUCGUAUACCUUCUACUUCAAUAUCUAAUUUGGGAAAUCGGACGGAUCGUCAUCGCCUCAAAGGGUUCAUAACAUUUUAAAUUUCUGUUUCAGUAAUCAGAAGAAUACUUCUCGGAUUGUGGAGGUCGUGGCGUACAUCAGGAUCCAGAAAUUUUGGCAGCUGAAAUUAUUUUACCUAGCAACGAUCAUUUUUUAUCUUUACAGAAACUUUCUCUCUAUAUGCUAAUGAUAUGUUUGUUACACUUGUUUGUAUGUUUCAGAUCUCGAGUUUAAUCAAUUAAUUGACAAAUGAUUUCUCUCUUUUCAGCAAUGGUACCGUUGCAACCCAUAUAUUUCUUACUGUUUUAUGCUAUUGAUUAUUUGUUUGAUAAUGAUGUUUACUUAUAAGAUGAUUGAGAAUGAUGAUGUUUAUGUAUUUGUCUGUUGUGUUUCGUGUUUCAUGUCAUUUAUGUAGUGUUUCAUGUACGUACAUGUUUUGUGUGUAACUUUGUGUAAUUGACUUGCGCAAGUUUUAAUUGGCCAUAUAUCCAUAAGAUUUUUAUUCAUGCAAUGUUCGUCUAUCUGUGUCAUUCAUAAUGCAAAUGCCAUGUCUAAAUUUAAGACCACUGUGUAUUACCACGUCUUUAUUAUGAUAUAAAGUAUUUGUUAUAUCUUUUUUUUUUCUAUUUGUAUGUUCCAGAUUUUUCUUUGCCACAUGCGGGAAGCUGAGCUGCUAGUGGUUUGCAUAGGGCUCUCGGCACAGUAUGUAGAAUAUAUAAUGUAUUACAUAUUCUACAAACUGUACUUUUGGCGAUCGUUCCACUUGGGAAAAAAAUCGAAACGAGCCGA